rnacentral:rRNA from 1 species
AUUGAACGCUGGCGGCAGGCCUAACACAUGCAAGUCGAACGAGUGGCGGACGGGUGUGUUAUGUCUGGGAAACUGCCUGUUGGAGGGGGUUCACUACUGGUAACGGUAGCUCCUACCGCACACCAGAAGCUGUGUCGAGUUGGGAUUAGUUUGUUGGUGGGGUAACGGCACACCAGGGCGACGAUCUCUAGCUGGGCUGAGAGGAUGACCAGCCACACUGGAACUGAGACACGGUCCAGACUCCUACGGGAGGCAGCAGUGGGGAAUAUUGGACAAUGGGCGCAAGCCUGAUGCAGCCAUGCCGCGUGUAUGAAGAAGGCCUUCGGAUUGUAAAGUACUUUCAGCGGGGAGGAGUAACCAGGAGAAUAAGCACCGGCUAACUCCGUGCCAGCAGCCGCGGUAAUAA